rnacentral:rRNA from 1 species
UGUCUUCUAAAUAAAGACCAGUAUGAAUGGCUAAAUGAGGGCCUAACUGUCUCCUAUCGCUAAUCAAUGAACCUGAUCUUCUAGUACAAAAGCUAGAAUAUGCCCAUAAGACGAGAAGACCCUGUGGAGCUUAAAAUAAAACACUAAAUGAUUCUUCAUAUCUAGUGUCUGCUUUUAGUUGGGGCAACUUUGGAAAAAAAAAGAACUUCCUAAUAUGCAGGUGUAUACAGCCCUAUUUUGACCGACAGGCCUAAAUAUUAAUAAAAUGACCCAGUAACACUGAUCAUCGAACCAAGUUACCCCAGGGAUAACAGCGCAAUCUUCUCUAAGAGUUCUUAUCGCCAAGAAGGUUUACGACCUCGAUGUUGGAUCAGGACCCCCAAAUGGUGUAGCCGCUAUUAAAGGUUCGUUUGUUCAACGAUUAAUGU